rnacentral:rRNA from 1 species
CAGUCGCCGCGGGAAUACGGAGGGGGCUAGCGUUGUUCGGAAUUACUGGGCGUAAAGCGCACGUAGGUGGCUUGGUAAGUUAGAGGUGAAAGCCCGGAGCUCAACUCCGGAAUUGCCUUUAAGACUGCCGAGCUAGUAGGUGAGAGAGGUAAGUGGAAUUCCGAGUGUAGAGGUGAAAUUCGUAGAUGUUCGGAAGAACACCAGUGGCGAAGGCGGCUUACUGGCUCAUUCUAGACGCUGAGGUGCGAAAGCGUGGGGAGCAAACAGGAUUAGAUACCCGCGUAGUCCCUGUCUCUUAUAA